UACGUAGGCAGCGAGCGUUGUUCGGAGUUACUGGGCGUAAAGCGUGCGUAGGCGGUGUCUUAAGUUUGUUGUGAAAUCUCCCGGCUUAACCGGGAGGGUGCGGCGAAUACUGAGAUGCUGGAGUGCCGGAGAGGUAAGCGGAAUUCCAGGUGUAGCGGUGAAAUGCGUAGAUAUCGGAAGGAACACCAGUGGCGAAAGCGGCUCCCUGGUCCAGCACCGACGUUCAGGCACGAAAGCGUGGGGAGCAAACAGG
rnacentral:rRNA from 1 species